rnacentral:tRNA from 1 species
GGUGGUAGCUCAGUUGGUAGAGCAUCAGCCUUCCAAGCUGAGGGUCGCGGGUUCGAUCCCCGUCCGC